rnacentral:rRNA from 1 species
AGAUUGAACGCUGGCGGCAGGCCUAACACAUGCAAGUCGAGCGGUAGAGAGGUGCUUGCAUCUCUUGAGAGCGGCGGACGGGUGAGUAAUGCCUAGGAAUCUGCCUAGUGGCGGGGGAUAA